UGUGCCAGCAGCCGCGGUAAUACGUAGGUGGCAAGCGUUAUCCGGAAUUAUUGGGCGUAAAGCGCGCGUAGGCGGUUUUUUAAGUCUGAUGUGAAAGCCCACGGCUCAACCGUGGAGGGUCAUUGGAAACUGGAAAACUUGAGUGCAGAAGAGGAAAGUGGAAUUCCAUGUGUAGCGGUGAAAUGCGCAGAGAUAUGGAGGAACACCAGUGGCGAAGGCGACUUUCUGGUCUGUAACUGACGCUGAUGUGCGAAAGCGUGGGGAUCAAACAGGAUUAGAUACCCUGGUAGUCCACGCCGUAAACGAUGAGUGCUAAGUGUUAGGGGGUUUCCGCCCCUUAGUGCUGCAGCUAACGCAUAAGCACUCC
rnacentral:rRNA from 1 species